AUAGUACCCCCUCCGUUCAGAAUUACUUGUCACAAAAAUGAAUGUAUCUACAAUUAAAAUACAUCUAGAUACAUUAAUUUUUUGGACGAGUAAUUCCGAACGAAGGGAGUAGAUA
rnacentral:pre_miRNA from 1 species